rnacentral:rRNA from 1 species
GAUUAUGGUAGGAUAGAGGCCUACCAUGGUGGUAACGGGUAACGGGGUGUUAGGGCACGACACCGGAGAGGGAGCCUGAGAAACGGCUACCACAUCCAAGGAAGGCAGCAGGCGCGCAAAUUACCCAAUCCCGACACGGGGAGGUAGUGACAAUAAAUAACAAUACAGGGUUCUUUUGGAUCUUGUAAUUGGAAUGAGUACAAUUUAAAUCUCUUAACGAGGAACAAUUGGAGGGCAAGUCUGGUGCCAGCAGCCGCGGUAAUUCCAGCUCCAAUAGCGUAUAUUAAAGUUGUUGCAGUUAAAAAGCUCGUAGUUGAAUUUCGGGAUCAAGGAAUCGGUCAUGCCUUGGUAUGUACUGGUUUUAUUGGUUCUCACCUUCUAAAGAACCAUAAUGUCAUUCAUUUGAUGUUAUGGGGAAUUAGGACUGUUACCUUGAAAAAAUUAGAGUGUUUAGAGCAGGCUUACGCUUGAAUACAUUAGCAUGGAAUAAUGAAAUAGGGCAUCAGAUUCUAUUUUGUUGGUUUCUAGGAUCGAUGUAAUGAUUAAUAGGGAUAGUUGGGGGCAUUAGUAUUCGAUUGUCAGAGGUGAAAUUCUUGGAUUUAUUGAAGACUAACUACUGCGAAAGCAUUUGCCAAGGAUGUUUUCAUUAAUCAAGAACGAAAGUUUGGGGAUCGAAGACGAUCAGAUACCGUCGUAGUCCUAACCAUAAACUAUGCCGACUAGGGAUCGGAUGAUGUUAAUUUAUAAUGACUCAUUCGGCACCUUACGGGAAACCAAAGUGUUUGGGUUC